GUGAGUAAUACAUCGGAACAUAUCCAGUAGCGGGGGAUAACCUAUCGAAAGAUUGGCUAAUACCGCAUACGAUCUACGGAUGAAAGCAGGGGACCGCAAGGCCUUGCACUAUUGGAGUGGCCGAUGUCAGAUUAGCUAGUUGGUGGGGUAAAAGCCUACCAAGGCGACGAUCUGUAGCUGGUCUGAGAGGACGAUCAGCCACACUGGAACUGAGACACGGUCCAGACUCCUACGGGAGGCAGCAGUGGGGAAUUUUGGACAAUGGGCGCAAGCCUGAUCCAGCCAUGCCGCGUGAGUGAAGAAGGCCUUCGGGUUGUAAAGCUCUUUCGGUGAAGACGAAACGGUUAGCGUUAAUAACGCUGACUAAUGACGGUACUCACAGAAGAAGCACCGGCUAACUACGUGCCAGCAGCCGCGGUAAUACGUAGGGUGCAGGCGUUAAUCGGAAUUACUGGGCGUAAAGCGUGCGCAGGCGGUUUGCUAAGACAGGUGUGAAAUCCCCGGGCUUAACCUGGGAAUUGCGCUUGUAACUGGCAAGCUAGAGUGUGGCAGAGGGGGGUGGAAUUCCACGUGUAGCAGUGAAAUGCGUAGAUAUGUGGAGGAACACCGAUGGCGAAGGCAGCCCCCUGGGUUAACACUGACGCUCAGGCACGAAAGCGUGGGGAGCAAACAGGAUUAGAUACCCUGGUAGUCCACGCCCUAAACUAUGUCAACUAGUUGUCGGGGAAGAAAUUCCUUGGUAACGAAGCUAACGCGUGAAGUUGACCGCCUGGGGAGUACGGC
rnacentral:rRNA from 1 species